CCUUAAGUUACAUUUCACUAGGAGCACAGCAGAUGUGCCGAGGCACCCUGACCAGUCCGUGGUGAACUCUGGCACCAGAUAUAGAUUUUCAAUCAUGCUGACUGACAAACACAUUUGCGCUCCUGCCCAGCCCUUUGACACAGCCGAGUGUUGAUUCAAUCCAGUCGCAGUGUACCAGCUGCUGUCCGGGAGACACCUUGCCUGCUUUGACCUGUCAGGAAAUGAAGAAUGGAAGCAGCUUCUAGAUCACAGGGUGGUCACUGGUCACACUAUGUGAGGACUCUGAAUCUACCUCUACAGAAAGGAGGAGGAUGUGAGGGCAGGACUCUCAUUGUUCAUCAAUUCUGUCUUCCCCUGCAUGCUGACAACCAACGUACCAUACCUGGAAAUCAUAAGCAAGAGCCGUUUAACUUGGAAUUAAACAGGCACAUAAAGGCCUGGAGGAGACACAAGCCAACAACUCCAAGAUCCAAAGUCCCCUGAAGCCUAAGGGCCGUAUGUCCAGGAUCCCAAAGACUGUCAGCCAUUACCUUUAGACAUCUUGCCUACGUCUUCUCAUCCCAAGCUCAGAACACAUGCUCUAGCCUCCGCCACUAAGGGACUUAGAUUUGUCCAGGAAAGGGCGAGAGCAAGACUCCAUCGGACACCCAAGUUGGGGUGGAUUUUUAAGAGAAAAUUAUUUAAGAGAAAAUAUUCGGGCUCAGGGUUUUUGAACUUUCAGUUCCGGAUCACUUGGCUUUCUGGAUUUGGACCUGCUGAGGCAGCAUGUUUCGGUGGAAAUAUAUGGCUAAGCAAAACUGCUUGUCCCAUUCAUGGUGGGAGAG
ensembl:lncRNA